ensembl:lncRNA
AGCAAGUGUACUGGCAGAUUCACAGAGGAAAUUGAUGUGAAAGUGUGAUCAUUUACAAUAAGGAAGUGGAAAUAUCAUAGCUGAACUUUGUUUUGCCCAAAUAUUUUUUAACUAUUGUGCAGAAAGUUCUGCUGUUCACUGCCAGUAUUUUCUCUGUCUCACUGUGUCUAGACCACAGAAGCGCAUGUAACCAGUCUCACAUCAGACUGUAGUCUGACAGAAGAGUGGAGAGAGGAGGAACCAUCGCAACAGGAAGAUGUCAGCUAUACAACAGUGCACAUCAACACCAAGCAAAGGGCAAACAUAGAACAGCAGAACGAGGAAACUACGGCCAUCUACAGCUCUAUAUGGGAGCAACAAGCCAAGGAGGACCUCUACAGUGUAGUAUCCAGACCCACUCCUAGGGGGAAACAGGCCUAGGAUGACCCAGUCAUCUACAGCACUGUGUUCAGGCAGUAGUUGAGAUAUUGCCUGGCUAACCAAACUCCUUGAUCCGGCCAAACGCUAUGCCAC